rnacentral:rRNA from 1 species
AUUGAACGCUGGCGGCAGGCCUAACACAUGCAAGUCGAGCGAGCGGCGGACGGGUGAGUAAUGUAUGGGGAUCUGCCUGAUGGCGGGGGAUGACUACUGGAAACCGUAGCUAAUACCGCAUACCCUCAGAUGAACCCAUAUGGGAUUAGCUUGUAGGUGAGGUAACGGCUCACCUAGAAGACGAUCCCUAGCUGGUCUGAGAGGAUGAUCAGCCACACUUGGACUGAGACACGGCCCAGACUCCUACGGGCGGCAGCAGUGGGGAAUAUUGCACAAUGGGCGCAAGCCUGAUGCAGCCAUGCCGCGUGUAUGAAGAAGGCCUUCGGGUUGUAAAGUACUUUCAGUCGGGAGGCGUUACCGACAGAAGAAGCACCGGCUAACUCCGUGCCAGCAGCCGCGGUAAUAC